GGGGCUGUAGCUCAGUGGUAGAGCACUUGCCUAGCAUGUGUGAGGCCCUGGGUUCGAUCCCCAGCAUCACAU
rnacentral:tRNA from 1 species